rnacentral:rRNA from 1 species
CGUAGGGGGCAAGCGUUGUCCGGAUUUACUGGGCGUAAAGCGCGCGUAGGCGGAGCGUUAAGCGUGGCUUGAAAGCCCCCGGCUCAACCGGGGAAGGUGGCUGCGAACUGGCGCUCUUGAGGGCGAUAGAGGGGGGCGGAAUUCCUGGUGUAGCGGUGAAAUGCGUAGAGAUCAGGAGGAACACCCGUGGCGAAGGCGGCCCCCUGGGUCGGCCCUGACGCUGAGGCGCGAAAGCGUGGGGAGCGAACGGGAUUAGAUACCCCGGUAGUCCACGCCGUAAACGAUGGUCACUAGGUGUGUGCGGUAUCGACCCCGCACGUGCCGCAGCUAACGCAAGAAGUGACCCGCCUGGGGAGUACGGCCGCAAGGUUG